CCCGCACAAGCGGUGGAGCAUGUGGUUUAAUUCGAUGAUACGCGAGGAACCUUACCUGGGCUCAAAUGUAUGUUGACGUAUUCUGAAAGGGAUACUUCUUCGGACAAUAUACAAGGUGCUGCAUGGUUGUCGUCAGCUCGUGCCGUGAGGUGUCGGGUUAAGUCCCAUAACGAGCGCAACCCCUAUCAUUAGUUGCCAUCAGGUCAAGCUGGGGACUCUAAUGAAACUGCCUACGCAAGUAGUGAGGAAGGUGGGGAUGACGUCAAAUCAGCACGGCCCUUACGUCCAGGGCUACACACGUGCUACAAUGGCCGGUACAAAGGGCAGCUACCUGGUGACAGGAUGCUAAUCUCAAAAGCCGGUCUCAGUUCGGAUCGGAGUCUGCAACCCGACUCUGUGAAGCUGGAAUCGCUAGUAAUCGCGCAUCAGCCAUGGCGCGGUGAAUACGUUCCCGGGCCUU
rnacentral:rRNA from 1 species